GACGAACGCUGGCGGCGUGCUUAACACAUGCAAGUCGAACGGUAAGGCUCCAGCUUGCUGGGGUACACGAGUGGCGAACGGGUGAGUAACACGUGGGUGACCUGCCCUGCACUUCGGGAUAAGCCUGGGAAACUGGUCUAAUACCGGAUAGGACCAUGGUGUGGAUACUGUGGUGGAAAGUUUUUUCGGUGUGGGAUGGGCCCGCGGCCUAUCAGCUUGUUGGUGGGGUAAUGGCCUACCAAGGCGGCGACGGGUAGCCGGCCUGAGAGGGUGGACGGCCACAUUGGGACUGAGACACGGCCCAGACUCCUACGGGAGGCAGCAGUGGGGAAUAUUGCACAAUGGGCGGAAGCCUGAUGCAGCGACGCCGCGUGGGGGAUGACGGCCUUCGGGUUGUAAACUCCUUUCACCAUCGACGAAGGGUUUCUGACGGUAGAUGGAGAAGAAGCACCGGCUAACUACGUG
rnacentral:rRNA from 1 species